rnacentral:rRNA from 1 species
CACGUAGGGCGCGAGCGUUGUCCGGAUUUAUUGGGCGUAAAGAGCGUGUAGGCGGCCUGGUAGGUCAGCUGUGAAAACUCGAGGCUCAACCUCGAGACGUCGGUUGAAACCACCUGGCUAGAGUCCGGAAGAGGAGAGUGGAAUUCCCGGUGUAGCGGUGAAAUGCGCAGAUAUCGGGAAGAACACCCGUGGCGAAGGCGGCUCUCUGGGACGGUACUGACGCUGAGACGCGAAAGCGUGGGGAGCGAACAGG